CNGGCAUGAGAGAUGACCAAGGAGUAGCUGC
rnacentral:piRNA from 1 species